rnacentral:rRNA from 1 species
UUGAACGCUGGCGGCAGGCCUAACACAUGCAAGUCGAGCGGUAACAGGGGAAGCUUGCUUCCCGCUGACGAGCGGCGGACGGGUGAGUAAUGUAUGGGGAUCUGCCCGAUAGAGGGGGAUAACUACUGGAAACGGUGGCUAAUACCGCAUAAUCUCUAAGGAGCAAAGCAGGGGAACUUCGGUCCUUGCGCUAUCGGAUGAACCCAUAUGGGAUUAGCUAGUAGGUGGGGUAAUGGCUCACCUAGGCGACGAUCCCUAGCUGGUCUGAGAGGAUGAUCAGCCACACUGGGACUGAGACACGGCCCAGACUCCUACGGGAGGCAGCAGUGGGGAAUAUUGCACAAUGGGCGCAAGCCUGAUGCAGCCAUGCCGCGUGUAUGAAGAAGGCCCUAGGGUUGUAAAGUACUUUCAGUCGGGAGGAAGGCGUUGAUGCUAAUAUCAUCAACGAUUGACGUUACCGACAGAAGAAGCACCGGCUAACUCCGUGCCAGCAGCCGCGGUAAUACGGAGGGUGCAAGCGUA